ensembl:lncRNA
CCUGCUCUGGGUGGCCAUUGGGAGCAAUGGGAAGUGGGGUGUUGCUGUGGGUGUCACUGGGGGUUGAGAAGUGGGGUGCUGUUCUUCAUGGCAGUCGGGAGGGUGAGAAGUAGGGUACCAUGCUGGGCGGCCAUUGGGAGGAAUGGGGUGCUGGUUCGCAUGGCUUUUGGCAGGGAUGGGAUCAGGGUGCUGCACUGGCGAUCAUGGGGAGCGGUGGGUUCAGGGUACUCUGGUGGGGGGCUCUGAGGAGGGUAAGAAGUGGGGCACAGAUGUGGGUGCUCAUGGGGAGGGGUGAGGUCAGGUCCUGCUCUGCCCGGCCAUCAGCAGGGGUGCCAUUGGGGUGCAGGUCUGUGUGGGGCAGGAUGGCUGUGGGCCCCACCUCUUCCCCCUCAGCUUGCUGGAGGGUGGGUGAGAAACCUUUCGUGGUUUCUCUUCCUUGUGGCCGUGCGAAGGUGGUCCAAGUCCAGACUUCUGCUGGGCAGCAGAGCAGGAGAGCUGCCCAAAUUCCAACCCAGAGAAUACAAAGGGCCCCAUGCAGUGCUGUGGCUCUGGGGAGAACGAGCUGUCCCGGAGUGGUGGGACGUGUCCAGGGGCCACGGCGGGCUGCAGCCCCUCACCUUGUGUCCCUCACAGCUGCCAUUCUCUGGGGCCUGCCCUAACCGCGGCCAGGGUGGGCGCCAAUGGCCAACGCUCACUAUGGGAGGAGCCCUUCCUGCUCCUCGCGUGGCUGUGCUAUUUGCACUGUGACCACCGCCCACCCCGGCGGUCCCACCAGGCCACCCAGAGGGCCCUGGGGACGCUGCCCCACGUGCACCCCGCUAGGAAGCCUCUAGAUCCUGGGCACCGUUUCCUCUGACGCGUUCCUUCCCCCCAUCCUCUCCUGGCCUUGCGAGUGUCUGCAGGGCACCGUGCAUGCACUUAAAGUGUGUUCCUGGGUGAGGCUGUGGUCACUGGAAGCCCUUCCCAAAGCGACCCCCACAAGGCCACGUUCCAGCCUCCGGGUUGGAGGGCUGCUUCUCACACGGGCAGCUGAGCCGGAGGUCCGCAUGGAGUUCCAGCAGAAGUCCCAGAGAGUGUCCCUACUGCCUUCCCUUCCGUUCCCACUGGGAACAGCAGCGCGUCCGGUGCCUCCAACAGCUCCAAGGAUGGCCUCCCUGACGCCCCCUGAGCGCAAGGAGUUGUGGCUCUGCCAGUGCCUUUGUGCCCUGCCCACAGGGGAGGGGGCUCGGGGGGUGGCACCUGCAGCCACGAGGACUCCAUCUCCUGGCCGAGCAGAGGUGGUGAGGAGGGGAGCUGCGGCCUGGCGUGCAGUGUGGCUGCAAUAUGGGUGGCACCGCGCGGGACAUCACCGGGCUGUCAGCUCAGCACGGGCACAUGGCUGUCCAAAGAGGUUCCAGGCACAGAUAAGACGUUCAGUUGGGAUUUGCGCCUCAGGGGACCAGCGGGGACAUUUAAGGGCAGCGUGCGCGGCCAUUAUUAGUGCUUUUGGCUGUCAGCUUCAGCGUGUCCUCACAGACUGCCUCAAUGGCACCAAGCUCAGUGAGGGCCGCUGGGCCCCGGUGCGGCCUGCAGCCCUGCUCCCCAUGGGGUGCUGCCCUGAAGGGAGGCAGGGCGAGCAGAUCCAGGUGCCCUCGGGGGCUGGGAGCUACAGAGCAGCCCUGCCUGGGGGUCACACAGCCGUGGGAGGGGUCAGGUUUGGGUGGGGGUCCACACUUCCCCCACUUCCCAUAUCCCAGAGCUGGGUGUCACAGGCCUUGUGGGACUCGAUGCAGUCAUUUCCCUCUAUUAUUGGAGCUUUUUUAUCAGUGAGUUACGAGUCCUUUGCCACCGGCAGUGGCCUGAGCGCUAUACGAUGUACAAAGAAAAGGCAGCUCUGGUGCCAAAGUGCUUAUUGUUCAAAAUGCAGAUUUUUUUUGUUUUUCUUUUUUUCCCUUCAAAGCAAACCAAUAGACGGAAAACCAGAUGAAAAAACAGUGGGAGCCCAGAGACGAGAGAGAAGGAUUUACUUUGUUAUUUAACCUGGGAUCUGCUGCGCUGUGCUCAGCAGCCUGCCCUAAGGAGCCUGCCUUGGGUGGGGUUGGGCUGGGGGAUCUGCAGAGCUUCCUUCCCACCCCUGAAAUCCUGUGAUUCCGUGGUUCUGUCUUCUCCAGGCACCCCUUGAAAUGGAGCCCUGGCAGAGAUCGUAGAUUGGUUUGAGUUGGACGGGACCCUGAAAAGCCAUCUGGUCCCACUCCCCUGCAAUGGGCAGGGUCACCCACAGCUCCUUCAGGAUGCUCAGAGCCUGGUCCAUUUCUGAGUGCUUCAUUGUUUUUAACGUGCCGCAGAAUUCUGUGUCGCCAACUCACGAGUGCAGAUGUUGUUGUGGACCGGCAGGAGCUAUUGGCAGUUGGGUCUUUUCCCACCUCCGAAGACAUGUGAAGCAAUUUGGAUCCAUGCGACGCUAGCUGAAUUGUGCUGUUAACAUGAUAAGUGGCGUUACAAGUGAGAGCAUUAGACAAAAAUUCACAUCUUUGGGAUCCUGAAUGUGUCUGUUAGCUGUAUGUCUCCAAAGAAAUUUUGUCACCCUGUCUGCAGGCUUUAAUAACACAACAGCAAAGUACUAGACUGUGUUUGGUUCAGGUUUGGGGCUACGGUUGCGUUCUUUUUCAUUGCUAUAAAAAUCCAGCAAAAUCUGGCCUUACCAUAAACCUGUGAGAAGUUGAGCGUGCACGUGUUCUGUAGAUACUCCCUAUGCAUUUGCAGAUAAACCCUUUGGAAACGCUACCAAGGUAUUUGAAACGCACAGGCCUAUCAAUGCUGUGAAGCGCAGUGUUGCCACAAGAACCGGUGCCAUGGCAGAAGUCGAGAGGAAGCUGCUCAUUCCGGCAUGCCCAGCCUGCACGCCAUGCCAUCCUUCAGUCUUGGAGCUGCAUGUCAACCAGGAUGACAAAAGCAGUGAUGGAACGGCAGCUUGCUUGGGGGGCUGUGCAGGGGACCAUGGGCCCUCUGGAGAAAAACAGCAAGCGAGGAGGUCGUUAAUGCUGGGGGAGCAGUCUGCAACUGCGGCCCUGGUGCUGUCCUUCCCAGUGCCAGCAGUGAGAGCCAAGGCAGGAGGGAGCUGUGCCUGUGAGUCCCGAUGGUGAGAGCUCUGCGUGAACCACCUUGGAGCCCGGACAGCUGUUAUGAUAGACCUCUAUUCUGAGCUGUUUGUCUGGUGAGUCACUUUUAAAGGAACAAGGCUGAAACCACAUUGCUGCUAAUGACUCCUUCCACGGGUGUGGCUUCCCUUUGCUUGAGUACGCUUGAAGUCAUGCGCAGUGAGAGGUGUUUUCAGGGACCGGCUUAUUUUUGGCACUGAAUUUAGAACAGGGCCAUGUUCUGCCCAGAAGUUCACACCUUGCAACUGGCUCCCACCCACCCUUCACUUAUUUACCAUUCCGUUUUGAAAAUGGACCGAGGACUACAGACCACACAUGCCUAUGAGAUGCUGCACUUCAUUCAUGAUGGUACUUCAGAUACUGAGUGUUGAACCCCCAGAACAGGAGAGCAAGUCAGUAAUUUGCACCAGGUCAACUUGAUUAUUUUCUGAUUAUUUUCGUCCCGCUAAUCCUGUCGAUUAAAGAGAGGUGAUCCAGAGCUGUCAGUAAUCUUUGGGGAUGAAGCACGGGUGGAGCAAAGUUGAGCUUAGUGAAAUCUACCGGAUAGACCAAAACAGCACCAAACUGUUUGGUUCUCACCCCCACUGACUCUCUCUUAAAAAAUACAUGUAGGAAGAUUGAGCAUAGAAAACAUUUAUCAUUUCAGCGCAACUUCUCCUAUAUCUCUUUGUGCCUCCUUGUUAAACAGUGCUUUGCUCUCUGGAAACAAGGCGAAAAACAAGGGGACAGAAUAAAGUUGGGGUACUUGAAUUUGUGACUUAAUUACGUCGUCAUUACCAGAGCGGCUUCCCUAGAUGUGUGCAGGACUGUGUGAUACAUCCUGAGGAACGCGUCCCAGUCCUGUGAGGUACCUGGUGAAAUCAUUUCAAGUAUCUACUGCCGACUUUGCUGGGAAUAAAGAUGCCUUGGGAGACUCACUGCACCCAGCCCAGCCACGGAAACAGCAAUUGUGCCUUCGCCUCUCUCUGUUCUCAAAUACAAGCAGUUUGUCACCAAAGUGGUGCUUGAAGUAACUUCACUAAUUUCAGUACGGUUUAACCGAGAGCAGGUUUCAUCUGCUGCCUCCGAAAUAUUAGUUUGUGGAUUCCCGUGGAAAGAUAAAACAGGAGGGAGAAAAAUAUUCUCCUUCACUUGUGUGAAUUCCUACUAAAACAUCAUUUACUUUCUUGUUCCCUAGUGGAAGAGCAUGCUUGAUUUCAAUUAAAAUGAAAUGUCAUCAUUUUGGGACGUGCUGCAUAGUUUUAACAAAUACGCCUUGUGUUCAUCCAUCAGGGAGAAGAUGUUGGAUUUGUAUAAAGGCCAACAGGUACAGAGGAUGCUUUGCAUUCAUGGUGAAAUUACCUGUGCAUGUAUCCUACCAGCACCCUGUUUAGCUGAACUCAGCCAGGGCAGAGGAUUUUCCCUCCUUUUCCACCCGUGUUAGUCGCAGGUGUUUAGAGCAGUCUUUGUUCCACCUCUCUGGUGAUGGAUUUCCUCAAUUCUGCAGCCUCAGGUCUGGGUCCCUGGGUCCCAGCAGCCUUUCCCAGUUGGAGAUACUGUGUCCUGCAAGCCCCCACUGUACUGGUUGGCAGCAGUGGUCACUGGUGAUGUUUUGCUCUGAACAAGGCUGUAUGGUAUGUCCUGUAGUUGAGGGAAGUCUGCAGAACUGAAUUUUACCAUUAAAAAAAAAAUAUAUAUAUAUAUAUAUAUAUGUAUAUAUAUAUAUAUAAAUUCCUGUUGAAGCAUCCUGCUAUACAUUAUUUUUUAAUCCAAAGGCUGUUUCUCUUUCCCCUCACCCCUUCCCAGUGGGAUGGGGGAAAGAAUAAGAAAACAAACAAAGUAGAAUUCGGAGGUUGAGGUAAAACUUUACUAAGACAGAGAAAAAGAGAAUAGUUAUGACUGUACGUAUACAUAAAUGUCUAUAAGAAGUGAUGCACAAGCAGUUGCUCACCACGCUUGACCGAUGCCCAGCUGGCCCCUGAGCAGUGGAAUAGAGCAGUACGAAUUCCUACCCCUUUCAAAACGCCUUCCACGUGAUGCCACAUGAUAUGGAAUAUCCCUUUGGCUAGUUUAGGUCAGCUGUCCUGAUUCUGCUCUCUCCCAGCAACUUGGGCCCUUUGCUGAGAGUGGCCUUGGCAUAGCAGGCAACUAUAAAGAUUGCUGCGUUAUCAACGGAGUUUAUCUCCUAGAACCAAGACAUAGCAUCAUACCAGUCACUAUGAUGAAAACGGUUCCAUUCCAGCUGAAACUAAGACAAUAUCUUAUCCUUUUGCCAUUUAAAUUUGACAUGUAAAAAUUUCUUUUCAAGCCGUACUACAGUGAAGUUAGUUCUGUCAGUUUACUUCACUCAAGUAAAUGGGCAUAUGUAGGUAGUUAUGGAAAUACGUUGGUCGUGAUGACAGCUGGACUAAGAAUACGAAAUGUGCAAUAAGGCAAGUUCUUAUGAAGAUUUCAGCAGGUAUCUUUAAUAUUUCCUCAAGAACAAACAUCUGGAAGAAAUGCUUUUCUCAUGGAAACGUUUUUAAUAUGGUACGUUUUCUUCGAGAAAAGACAGGGAAAUGUUAAUUGGAGGUGUGUAUCGUAGCCAAUUAACUUGAUAAUACACCUGUAAAACUAGAAACAGUGUUAUUCUUUGUCUACUGCUUGCCAUCUUCUAUUAAUGACUAAAGUACAGAAAAGUAUUCUACGUAUGAUAAUGUGAUUUGUGGCUUUCUUCCCCAGGUAGACCUAUUUAAAAAGCAAGAAAUGUUUGGAGGGAGGUAUGGCACCUAAAAUGCCCAUUUCACAGAAGUUUGCUAUUCUGUAACGUCAAACAAAAGUGUGUUUGGAACGCCCAGGCUUCUGGGUGCAGUCAGCGUGAUGAGUGUCACUGGUGAUGAUUUACGGUCAUUCUGCAUGACCAAACUAAACAAAGUUCUGGGUAGCAGACGUACUUUGUCUUCAGCUUUUGAAUGGAAUUAGCAUAUUGUAUGUGUGAAAAGAACUGUAUUCUUUGUUUUUUGUUUGUUUGUUUGUUUGUUUGUUUGUUUUCCUUGGGGCUUUCUUUAUUUCCUAUUCUCCUAAUCUGGAUCUUGUGAGCAUACAGUAUGAUGAUAUGGGUAUCAAAAUGUCUGAUUCAAAGACAACUCCCUCACAGUGUUUGAAGGCAGAUGCUAUAUUCCAAGUAGAGGGAGAAGUUCUGAACUAUGCCAUGACAUGAUAACCAAACUUUUCAUAAGUAGUAUUCCUGAAACGCUUAGACUUGAAUGUAUUUUGGGAAAUGCCUAACACUGUUUUCCUUAUAUCAAAAUUUUAAUACGUGUUUUAACUUAAUGUUACAUUUUCAUUCCAAAUGAGGAAGAUGAAAUGUCUUGAUCGGCCCCUUGAAAGCAUCCAACAUAAUUUUCUCCAGAGUGUGUGGGGUCAUCCAUCAUAAAGCUACACAGAAUGUUCCUGCAUUGCUCUCCCUGCUUCAGAAACUCAGUAAUUUGAUUGAUAAAAGUGUCUUACAAUUCCUCACAUAAAUGUGAGCAUGGCAAUAUUUUUGUUAUCAGUAUCAUCCUUUAACUCGAGUAGUUCUUCCUUUCUUGGCUUAUCACUAAUAAUGCUCAUCAUGCUGGGAUAAAUGAUGUCUCUUACACAAUGGAUUCUCCAUUCUCUUCUAAGUAGCCCUUCUCUGCUUUUUUUUUUUUUUUUUUUUCCAUUUUGAAUUCAUCUUUCCCAAAAAGGUUGAAUAGAAUUACAUUCAGCGUCCCAUAUAAAGCCUUACUGCAUCUUGCUCAGUGCAAUUAAUAGUUGCUUACAUCUGCUAGAAGUCACCUGGCUCACAUCUUAGGAUCACUUUUGAUUCUUUCAACAGCAUCUGAUAUUUACCCCGGAAUUCAGGAACACGUCCAGGUCAUUAUCCUGUAUGAUUUCUAGUUGGUGUCUUUCAGGCUGUAGCCUUUUUCUAACAGUUACCAAACUAAGAGACUCAUUAUACCUAAUCUUCGCAGGCCAGAUCUGGAUCCUCAGCUCCGCAAGAGGUGUCAACAGCAGCUGUGACGAACUGUUCUCAGCAGGUCCCCUACCAAAGCACAGCUGACUGGAGACCUGUCUUCUGGAUGGCAGUCAGAUGAGGUGAAUCCCUCACUGUCUACACUUCCCAUUACAUACUGUUGCAUCUAAUGUACUUUCUAUUGCUUUGGUCUUCAAUGAGCAGAACUUCCAGUGUGAUGCUCCCAUCAUUGCCACUACCUCCUUCAAUUUGUCACUGGAACGUUUUAUUAGCUUACUCCUCCCUUUACUGCAGAGAUCAUUGAUGAAAUAAGCAGUAAGAUCAUUUCCAGCACUAACUCUUGCAGAUGUUGAAUUCACAGAAUCACAUACUGUCUGAGCCGGGAAGAGACCGCUGGGUCCUUCUGAUCCAACCCCCUCCCCAGGAUCGGACACCCAGAGCAGAGUGCCCAGGCCCCCGUCCAGCUGAGUUUUGAAGACGUCCAAGCAGGAAACCCCAACAUCUCUCUGGGAAACCAGUAACAGUGCUCUGGCACCAGCACAGUGAAGAAGUGCUUCAAGAAAUGUAGGAAGGAGAUCUUGGGUUCAGGUCCACGGCAGCACUAAGCCGUUGGUGAUGUGCCACGGCUACAUCUUCAGAGAGAUGGGAGAAGCGUCGCCAUUCGCACAGGAACAAAUAUGCUGACUCAGUAAUGGAAGAAUGCUAAAGAAAAUGUAUCCACUUGGAGAUCUUUUUUCUAUAUUCUUUCAUCCUAGAAUUUCAUGGAACGAGAAUAACAUAGUUACUUGUUUGUGUUGAAAUCAAACAUGCUUGUUCUUCACUUGCAAAAAUAGGAAACUUCUUUCAAAGUGACACUCUUCAUGAAAGAAUAGAAGUGUGCAGCUGCUGUAUGACUAAGUGAUUAAAAACCUGAUGGCUAAUUCAUUUUAGGUGAUAUGUUUGCACUCAAGGCCAAGUAUCAUAAAAAUAGCUGCUUAGCUUUUCUUUUUUAAUAUUAAGUAAAACACCAUAGAGUUUUCAGUAGGCUGGCAAGAUUUUCCAUAUCCAGUUUUGCCCAAUUGAAGUCAGGCUACCACAACUAGAAUUGUCUUCUCUCUAAUAUUCCCCUUUUACACAGCCUUCACCCACGUAGUUUUUACUAGACAAAUGGUUUUAAACUACCUGAGGCCAAGGGGAAAGUUCACAACAUUUUAUAAAUCUUGCCUGGAAAAUGCCAAGAUAGAUGGCAUUUUCUUGGCUCGUACACUGUGUGUAGGGAAGUAGAGAGAGUUUAGAGAGUUUAUGAGACUUAAUAGUCUGCUCACCAAAGCGGUAGUAUUUAACUCAUUGAGUGCUAUUUGAGGACUCGACAUGGCUAGAGAAGAAUGUCAUAUUGUUGUUAAUAUUAUUAUUUGUUAUUUUUGUUAUUGAGCUUAGAUGCGUAGAAGACAACCAGAGAUGCUUGAUUUUGGGUUCAGUGUGCUGAUGUACGUUGCUUGUCCUUAUAAUCUAAUUAAAAGAUGAUGUAAAAAAUACGUGGGAAUGAGAACAGAAAGAGGAUGAAGAAGAAAAUAAUUGAAGUAAUACAUGGUGGUUGGAUUAGUUAUUUGCACAAUUAGCUAUUUGAAUUAGCUACUUGACAAGUGAUAUAGAAGAAAGAAUAAAGGGCUAUCUCUGUCAAAGACAGUUUUUAGUGAAGCUGCUACUGUAAGUGUAUUAUGAUUUAAAUAUAAAGAGCUUCAGGUUUCAGUUAAAUGGAUUUUGAUUCUGCUUAUUUUUCUAAUGCUAGAUUUGUUUCAUUUCUGUAUUAAGCUCCUCUUAUUAAACCAUGCAGUGUCUGAUGGAAAUUUCAACCUUUGUUUCAAGUGCAAUGCAGUUUCCUGGGAGCAGACUAAGACAUAACCUAACGAUUUUUUUAAACACUUAUUUGUGCUCAACAAAGAGAUUGAACAUAAAAUCUCAGGAUUUAUUGAAAUACUCUGAGCCGGAGAAACAGGUAUACAAUUAUUUCUAGAUAUUGGAUUGCUUUUCAGCUGACAAACUCAUAACUUUGCUACUGCGUUCUUCUGACAUGCUCAACAGAGGUUUGAUUAUGUCUAUCCCCAUUUAGCUAGGUAGAGUGCCAUCUCCGCUGGGGGAAACAGAGAAAACAGCUACUUGAAAACAAGGAACUAUUAAUAUUUGAUCAAAAUUGAAUUGAUUGUAUGGGAUGAAUAUGAGGUAGGAAAUUGUAGUCGAAUUAAUUUUCACAGCAAAUUGGUCUCAAUUUUUUUGAGAAGGAACCAAAGUGAGUUAUGGACCCAACAGUCCAAUGCAGUCAGAUCCAGGAGACUGGAAUCUUCAAGUCCUUCACACGGCAAGCCACCAGUCUGGAAUGUCUUACCUGACUGAUUUUCCAGAACCACUUCCUUCAAGCUGAAGAGCCAUCUCAACAUGUGGAAAGGCAAGCCUUAGUGGCAGGAGACCUGCAUGGCUGGGCAAUGAAUGGACACAAACAUAAAAAGGAAGAGAGGAAAACGUGGAAGCAGGGCACCCACAUCGUGACUUAAGGUCAUCAAGGGC